ACACAAAUGUAUACAUAAUUUCAAGUACAGAUGAUAUUUUAAGUUGCCUAACAUUAGUAUUGUAGUGCAAUGGUUAUAAGCACCAACUGGGGAGCUAGACUCCCAGGGAGUCAGUCUCAGUCCUGGGUCCUAUUAGUUGUGUGAACUGGAGCAAGUUACUUAACCUCUCUAGACCUCAUUUACCUCAUCUGCAAAAUCUCAGAAUAAUUUGUAAAACAAGGAAGUAACAGACCUCCCAGUAUUUCUGUGAGAAUUAAAUAGGAUGGCAAGGUGACUAGUUCAACUAGAUAACUAUUUUAAUCAAUCUUGAAAACUGAGGCCAGUCAUCUAUUAACCCUCGUUCUUAAUGUGAUGAUUUACAUGUUCAUUGACCAAAGACAAGCCUUUUGAUCUAGUUUAUUUUCUAGGCAUUUGGAGAGAAAUACAUCUCUGCCUCUAAUAACAAUAGUUAAUUAAAAUUUUCUGAAGCACGCUGAAAAAUUAUUGAUAUUCAUUAUUCAUUCAACAAUUAUAUAUUGAAUACCUGAGCUGCCAGGCAAUAUUCUAAGCUCCUCAGCUGUGAAGAAAACCAAUAUGGUCCCUCAGAUAGGGAGUUUCCAUUCCAGAAAGAAAAGAUUUUAAAAAAAGAAAAAAAAAUACAAAUAUAUGAAGAAGUUAAUCUCAGAGAAGAAUCAAUGAUGUGUAACAAUGAGACCAGAGAAAGCACUGGAAGAUGAUUGUUGGGCUAAUUCUAUCAGGUGGUGAGGGCAGCCAAGGUGAGAAAGAGGCAAUGGGCUAGAAACAUAAUGACAGCAAUCCUAUGACACAGCAGCGCUUUUAUUCUCAUUUUAUAAACAGAAUGAUUACGUUGCCGAAACCACAUCAUUGUUGCUUUAUUAAAAUACAUACGUUUGUCUCUGAAUGCAACUGUAACACUUGUUCACUUUAGAAAAUGCAGUUAAGGACAAAAAAGAAAACAAAUCAUCGGUGAUCCUAUAGGUAAAACUGUGUGUAUAUUUUCUGUCCUCUUUUUCUGCAUAUUACUUAUAUUUUUAUAAAUGUAUAAAUUAAAAUAUAUUUAACAAAAGGAAUCACCCUAUGCAUAAUAUUUGUAACUUGUUUUUCCAUUGAGCGAUAUUUUUUCCAUGUCAUUAUGAGUCUUCUGAAACAUAAUCUUCAAUAGCUGUGUGGUCCCAUAUUAUAUGGAAACAUAAUGGUUUCUUUAAUUAGUUUCUUACCAAUGAUAUUUGCAUCAUUCCAGUUUUUCAUUAUUAUAAACAAUGCUGUAAUAAACCUAAUAAUAAUAAAAUAAUAAAAAGUAAUACUUAAUAUUUAUUCAAGUGCUUAAGUAUCACAUGCAUUAUACUAAGCAAUUUAUAACUUGUAAGUAAUUUAAUGUGCUCUACUAAUUUAAUUUAAGCAUAGGGACAGUGGUACUCCUCCAUUCAGAAACUGAAGAAACGCUAACCAAAAAGAAGUUAAAUAAUUUGCUCAAGGUCACAUAUCCAAUAAAUUGCAGAGCUAGGAUUUGAACUCGGACACUCAAUCCCAGCCAGAGCAAAACACUUAAUCAUUGCAGAUUUACACAUAAAUUUCUACAGAUUACAGAUAAGUCUUAAUCUUCAUCAGUAUUAUUUCCUUAGGAUAAAUUUUUAGACGGGGAAUCACUCUGAACCCAAUCCAUAUCUAAUGCUUCUAUACAAAACUCCCCUCAUCCAAACCCAGUGCCCACUCCCAGGCAUCCUAUUGGAACAUUCAAAGCUCUGUGCUUCAGAUCACACAUCAGACUGCAGACUGCAGACUGCAGACUGCAGCCUGCAUGAUGGUGUGAUGAGAACUAGCCAAAGUGAAAUAGAUUCUAGACCCUGCCAACCCCCCCCUUUCCUCCUGUGGUUCUCUUCAGAGCCUUUACCAAGGAAAACUUAGGAAAAGCAAAGAAGGGGCUCCAGAAGUUCAACCUGCAUCCAUUCAUCCAUGAUCCCCCAAGAAUUAUUUCUGCACACAUACUCAUUGCCUAAACACAGAAAGAAAUGGAAAGGCAGAGGGUGUGGCUUUGAGCUUGGUGGGUGGGAUCUUUCCAUAAUGCCCAGGUGCUUCUCUUAAGCUGGCUGUACCUCCAAGGUGACCACCUGUACCUCCUUUUCUCUCCUUGUGGCCCUAUGGGGUCACUGAAUGGAUUAGGUUACUGAGCCACACUCAGGGAACUAAAGAAAUCCCAUGAAUGCAUACAGCUAAUUGAGACACAACAAGGUGGACCCUCCUGGGAGUUUUGGGCCUGCACUAACCCCAAAUCAUGACUCACUAGACACCAUUUUAGCACAUUUUUCAAAAAAUGUUGUUUUCUUGAAAGGCUGUUUGGUCAGAGAGAUGAAACAAUUCAUCUCUGUUACUUUUCCUAGACUUCAAAGAUAACCUAGAAUCAUAGGUUUCUAUUCUACCAAAGGAGGCUCCUGAGUAUAGUAAACUUAUUGUUAUAUCAUCUGGUCAAAUGAUAGAGGUUUUACUGGGGAGUAUAGGGAUCAAUUGAGUUAUUAUAUCUACCCUAUAGAGUAGAUUAUCACUCCUCAAAGAAACAGAAUACAGAAAAAUAAAUCUAAAAAUAGAUUAAAGAAAACAUAAUUACUCUCUGUUAAUUCAGAAGCCAUUUCUGAAUCUUAUAGUGUUUCAAGUAUCAUCACAAUCUUGAAUUAUUGUACAAGAAGCUUCCAACUAACAACCUUGGCUUCCAACAACAUGCUCGUAAAGUUUCUGGCUGGGAACCAGAGGUACAUUCGUAAAAAACAGCUUUUAAGACCUCAAAACAGCCCACACAAAUAUUUUUAACCAUAAUGUGGCUGGAAAAAAGUACUAAUAAAGUGAAAGACACUCACUCUCAUUUUUCACAUUAUUCCAAUGUUUAAAUCAAGAAAACUGAUAACCUGAGAUACCAAGAAUGUGUCUUCUGCAUUCUGGUGGCAGAUACAAGAACUUGCGUUAAGUCUUUGGGGGCAGAACCAAACUCCUGGAAGAGAGAACAUCUCAUAGAGAAUUUAGAAGUAGAAUUUACAGUUUCCAGAAAACCUGUAGUUUGAAAUACUUGGGUCAAUAUGAAAGAGGGAAAAGGAAGAGGAGCAGGGGUUAAUUGAAUGGGCUUAGUAAGUCAUGCAGCCACUGGAAUACACUGUGUGUUCAUGUUACCAAAAUUGUGGUCUGGCUGCUCACCACUCUAAAGCCAUACUCUAGAGGCACAGUGGGUAGAAAAGACAGUUUGCCUUAUUUUGGAAUCUAGCAACCAGGGGGAGGAUGGACUCAUGUCCUAAGGCCAACUCCCUACCACCACUGACAAUCAGGGGGCAAAAGCUCUUAAAAUGUGUUUUAGGGUAUAUAUGUGGGAGAGGGGGUACAUGCAGAAAUAGCACAGUCACUCUGACAGUCAUCUUGAAACUGGUCAUUGGGUGGUCUGACCAGUGUCAUUUGGAUUGUUUUAAGUAGAGUUAAUCUUCAGUUCCCAUUCCUUUGAGGGCAGUUCUUGGAAUUAUGUCAUGGCUACAGUCUGAUCAUCAUAUAGUUAACUUCUUCCACCUGGUAGAGGUUUCAGUAUAUAUAAAACAGCUCCAAGGAUAUGACUUAGAAUGUGAUCUAUAGCCUCUGAGGAAGAAUUAAAGGUCCUGGACUUUUCUUAAUGACUGAACUAUUAUUAUUUGGUCUUAUUUGGCUGCCUUCCUCUGCUUCUGCAUUUUCUCAUUUCCAUAAGCUUAUUCUUUGGCUAAAGUUUUUCUAUAGACAAAAGGCAGGUGGAGGGCAUGGGGGAAGGACUAUAGGGUCCUGCUCUGUUUCAUAUUUCCUUAUGUGUCUGGGAUCCAGAGCAAUGUGAAUUUUCUUCUUACUUGGAAGACUGUUCACAGAAAACAGAUCUUCUUUUCUCCAGCUCAUCUCUUGUUUACAACAUCUGUCUAUGUACUCAAAAUACUUGAAUGGGCCACAGUGACUCUUUCCUUGUUCAUAUUUAAUUAAAUUACAUUAAAAAAAAGCUCUAUCCAUGAUGGCAGGGGGUUCAUCUGUUUCAUUCAUUCCUGUAUUCCCAGAAUCUAGCAUGGUGCUUGAGAUAUACUAGGUGUUCAAAAUCCCUACAAGAGAAAUAUCAUUGGAGAAGAAGAAGCUAGGUGCAAAAAAUAGUAUGAAAAUCAGUCAGCUUGCACCUCAGUGGGGGAUAAAUGCUAGUUAAUAAAGAGUCUGGUUGAUAAAACGUCAAAUAACAGAGAGAUACUGUAAUAAUGUAGGCACACAAGGAAAUUCAGUCAUGAUGGUCUAAUCAUCAAGUGAACCAAGGAGGUUCACAGAGUAUUCUAAGGAGCCAGGAAUGAACUCAGGUAUUAAGGAAAAUAAAGUUUAUAUAACCCAAUUGCCCCCCACAUGCCAUUAAAAAGAUGAGAGCCAAUGAUUAUAAGCCUGACUUAGCUGUGCCAUCCUGGAUUGAUGAAGAUGGAACCCAUACUACAUACUACACCCUCUAUGAAAAGACAGGUAGAAAAAUAAAAUAAUGGGAUUAUGUGUAUGAAAGUUAGAAUGUACUGGGCAUAGUAACAGUGUUACUAGAUUAGCAACAGAAACUACUACCUCUGAGAGCAUCAGAGCUGAAAAAUUCUACUGAAAGAUAGACAGCUUAUUAUACCCCUAUUAAAUGUGAUAGCCUGGCCAAAGGGGCAAGGAUAGAGCUCAAUGUGGUAUUUUACAACAAAUUUUAGGCACAAUCUACCUCUUCUCUUUAAAACCCUACAGAGCAUCUAACUUCAUGAGCCUAAGACUAUGUUAUAAAAACUAACGACCUUGACAAUAUGUAAUCACAAAAACCUGGAUGGCCCUAAAAUUUCAACUACAGAAAGGAAUGUGUAUAGUGCUUUAAGUCUUCCUUAAAAUGGCACAUGGCCAUUGGUCCAUGGAACAAACCACAAAAGCUCAAUCUCUCCUCUCCUUUGAGCUGGAUUCUAGCUCAGACAAAGAUGCCUGCAUGUUAGGUAUAAAUAGGGCAUCACUCUUCUUCAGGUUGCAAGAUGAGCGUCAAGGAGGGUAAAAUCUGAAGAAGAUCCUUAAAGAAAAGAAAGCUUGAACAAAAACCAGGUUACACAUCAAAAGUUUUGUCAGUCUGAGGAGACUCGGGAAAAGAGUUGGUUUAAAUAAGUGAAGCUACAGAAAAGAGGCCAGGGACUCAUAGUUAAAGAUUUCUAAUUAAAGGAUGGAAGGCAGUGCCUAGAGCAAUUCCCUGGACCAAAAAGGAGGCUGCUUCUUUUUAUAGAAUGUUUCUAAUUUGAACUUAGGCCAGGAGAGACAUGUUAAAGUUGCCAAAGACUCCCAAGUCAAGGAAUUAGUCACAAUUUCCUUCUCAGGAGUGGUAAGUAGAGGGGAGGGUGAUAAAUAAAAUUACAAGGGAACUCAAAUUUUGCCUCAGUUACACUGAUGCAGCUACUAACUGAUUUAACUUGGUAUUUCUGAGGUGUAGUUCACUGUUUUUAAUCAUGAUUUCUAUACUCUAGUGCAACACUUACCUUCUUAUUCUUCAUCUCCAAGAGUUUUCUAAUUGGUAGAGUCUUAAUACUAUUAAUAAAAAAUCUCCUUCUGGUAGGAAAAAUGCCAUAUUAUUUCUCUGAAGGCUGUUGCUCUGGAAAACUACAAGGCAUAAUAUGAAAAUUCACUAAUUUGAUUUGUCAUAGAAUGUUCUUUCUUUUAAGAUCCAAGAUAAAUCAGCAAAUGCUUUCAAAGCUGACAUUUAAUCCAUGAAUUCAAAUCAUUUCCAAGAUUUAUGAUCCAUUAAAAAGACAGUUUCAAUUUCCCUUGCCCUUGUGAGAGCCUAAUGUAUAGCUGGCAGAAAAUGCAUUUACAUGGCACACAGUCCAGGACAACAAUAUCAUUUAUUGAUAAGCCUUUUCAAGUUUAAAAAAAAAUGAUUUUGCUAGUUAUGUUCAUUUUGAUUUGUUUAUCUGUAAGUAGUAGAUGGAUGCUUCACUCUGGUGAAAUUUCCUAAAAUGUAGCAGCUCCAUAGGUAUCCAUGUGAAAAAGAUUGCCUGCUGGAGAUUAGAAGAAAUCUCCUGCAGUUAUAAUAAUGAUAUGAUAAGUAGAUGAGAAAAUCCAAGGAUGGACUGGAGGUCCUUAUAUAGAUAUAGACUCAGAUACAGAUAGACAUAGCUAUAAAUAGGAUAAAGAAUAAAACUCAGGAGUUCCCUUGUGGCACAGUGGGUUAAGGAUUUGACUCUGUCACUGAGGCAGAUUCAGUCACUGCUAUGAAGUGGGUUCAAUCCCUUGCCCAGGAAAAGCCACAUACUGCUGGCGUGGCCAAAGAAAAAGAAUCAGACUCACAAAAGGUUUUGAUGAACCUAGUUCCAAUUUCUCUCUUUUUCCCCUCUUCCAUUUUCUACCCUUUGUUCUAAACAUGAUGAUUUUGUACAUCAAAAAUAUCAAUAAACUUGUGGUUGCCAGGAGGGAGGAGGGAGGAAGUGGGAUGGGCAAGGAGUCUGGGAUUAAUAGAUACAAACUAUUACAUUUAGAAUGGAUAAGCAAUGAGGUCCUACAGUACAGCACAGAGAAAUUUAUCCAAUCUCUUGGGGUAGAACAUGAUGAAAGAUAGUAUGAGAAAAAUAAUGUAUAUAUGAAUAAGAAUAUAUACCUAUACAUAUGACUGGGUCACUAUGCUGUACAGCAGAAAUUGACACAGCACUGUAAAUCAACUAUACUCUUAAAAAAAAAUCAGUAAAUUGAAUUCUCUAGCAGAAGUUCUAAAAGGACACUAACCCAGCCUUAAGAUUGUCAGUAUCCAUGUGGAAUCUGAAAAAAGGACAGACGGAACUUCUUUGCAGAGCAGAUGCUGACUCACAGAUAUUGAAAAACUUAUGGUCUCCGGUGGAGACAGUUUGGGGGGUGGGGGAUAUGCCUGGGCUGUGGGAUGGAAAUCCUGUGAAAUUAGAUUGUUAUGAUCAUUAUACAACUACAGAUGUGAUAAAUUCAUUUGAGUAAUAAAAAAAA
rnacentral:lncRNA from 1 species